AACGCGAAGAACCUUACCAGCUUUUGACAUGUCCUGGACGGAUUGCAGAGAUGCGAUCUUCUCUUCGGAGCCGGGAACACAGGUGCUGCAUGGCUGUCGUCAGCUCGUGUCGUGAGAUGUUGGGUUAAGUCCCGCAACGAGCGCAACCCUCGCCUUUAGUUGCCAUCAUUCAGUUGGGCACUCUAGAGGGACUGCCGGUGAUAAGCCGGAGGAAGGUGGGGAUGACGUCAAGUCCUCAUGGCCCUUACAGGCUGGGCUACACACGUGCUACAAUGGCGGUGACAGAGGGAAGCGAAGGAGCGAUCCUCAGCCAAUCUCAAAAAGCCGUCUCAGUUCGGAUUGCACUCUGCAACUCGAGUGCAUGAAGUUGGAAUCGCUAGUAAUCGCGGAUCAGCACGCCGCGGUGAAUACGUUCCCGGGCCUUGUA
rnacentral:rRNA from 1 species